CCGUCUGGGCUUCCCUUCUGAAGCUGCUGCCCCCACGACCAAGCCCCAGAUGAAGCGGAAGAAAGCAACAACGAAAAAUGGAUGUGGAACAGCGGUUAAAAAGAGGGUUGUGGAUCUGUCAUGGUUGUGGAUCUGCUGGCUCUACAGCUCUGCAGACACGUACUAUUGGAACUGGGAGGAAAACUUCUACCACCUUCCCCAACCCAAGCUUCUGCUGCCUUUAAAGGAUUAUGCGCCGCUUUAUAUGUACCGAAAAAGGCCCAAAAUCCCUCAAAAUUGGGCCCUUAAAUUCAGGACGCAGUUAUCUAUGAAAAGAAAUGAAGUUUAAAUGCAGAUUUCAAGUUGAACACUUCAGCGCAUGAGUGUUUUGGUCGGCAGCCUUUAAAAAGGAGAAAUGACUUUCUGCCACGUCCCUCCGGUAUGUCAGAUCCAAAGGAAAGAAUCUGAUUUUUGUGAGCGAGUGUGUGUCAUGUUUUUGUAUCUGCACAAUGUCCAAAGAACACAAAGAAAGCCUGGAUAAAGACAGGAUGAGUCAGUCGAUGUCCAGCUCAAAGAAAAAGACGGUUCAAUGGAGAGAAAAUCACCGCGCUGGGAUGCAAUUUGACUCAAAAGCAACAUUUCUGGGUUUGAUUUUCAAGGUCUUUUCUGUUCCUGUGAAGUCUCCUUGGUAACGGAGAGAAAGAGGAACUCCUCAGCUGAGAUGUCAGUAAUUAUUCAUGAUCAGUGUGAUCACACAAUUUUCAGUUUCCUUUCAAGAUGUUCAAUGGGCUCAUUUUGGUUAAUAGUACACGGGAACAUCUGACUAAUCAGACACAAAUUUCUGCUUCCUUUCAUCGGUGACUUUUUGUGCCGAGAGUGUGAUUCGAACCACAGUCACAUUAUCCCAGGAACAGUCAGGUGUGCUUCAUAAUCUCCAACAACAAUGUUCCAGUUUGUCUAAAUGAGUUUCAGACAAGUGAUCAGAGACUGGAAUAAAUCACUCAUGGGAUGAGAGGGAGGGGUGUGAAUUCUCUCGGCUGUAGCAGCUGCAGCUAGCGUUUCAUUUUCAUAUAGAGCGAAUCAGGACAGAACGCCAAGCUAACCAACAAGCACCAGUGAAAGAAUCAUCAAAGUGAUUGUUGUUGAUUCUCAAAACCACAAAUAUGACAAUUCUUAUGAGAGUGGAAACAACCUAAAAAUAGUGCCAACUGGAACCUUUUCAGUAAAGAAAGCAUAAAAUUGUUCCCUCUAGAAUCCUUUCUCGUCAAUGCCCUCUGGAAGCUCUUUUCCUAUUUGUUAAAAAAAGUGCCCUCUGGAACUAUUUUUAGUAUUGAAAAGAUAGAAUCAGUCACUCUGGAAUCCCUUUCAGUCAAUAAAAAAGUUUUUAAAAAGUGCCCUCUGGAUGCUCUUUAACUUUUUAGGCUGUUAAAGGGCCCUCUGGAUGCCCUUAAACUAUUUCAGCUAGUAAAGUGCCCUCUAGAUGCCCUAAAACAAGCUUUUAAUAAAGUGCCCUCUGGAUUGUCUUUAUGUAAAAAGUGCCCUCUGGAUAUUCUCACCACAAAAAGUGCCCUCUGGAUGCCCUUUAACUAUUUCGGCUAGUAAAAAAGUGCCCUCUAGAUGCCCACAAACUAGCUUUUAAUAAAGUGCCCUCUGGAUAUUUAUAAACUAUUCAAGCUGUUCAAAAAGUGCCCUCUGGAUGCUCUUUAACUUGUUGUGCUGUUAAAGUGCCCCCUGGAUGCCCUUUAACUAUUUGAACUGUUAAAAAGUGCUGUCAAAAAAUUCCAGUCCCUCUGGAAUCUCUUCUAGUCAAUAAAGCUAUUCAAGCUGUUUAAAAAGUGCUCUCUGGAUGCCAUUUGGCUAGUUUAAAAAAAAAAUUGCCCUCUGGAUUGUCUUGAUGUAAAAAGUGCCCUUUGGAUGCCCUGUAACUAUUUAAGCCGUUAAAAAGUGCUCUCUGGAUAUUUCUAAUAUGAAAAGUCCCCUCUCAAUGUCUUUGCUGUAGAUACAAUACGUAUAAGUGAUCUCUGGAUGUCCUUGUAAGAAUGCAAAGUAUCUCAUGAAUGCCUGUCCAGUAUUGAAAUCUUUAACAACCUUGAAAUAGUGCUUUGUAAUAGAGUUUUUGCAGUAUCGUAUAUCAAAUAUAGAUAACUUCAAAUGGUUCCCUCUGGAUAAGAAAGUAAGAGAGUGUCCUUUAACUUUGUUAGGUAUAAAAAAAGUACCCAUUUUAAUGGUCUUUUAGGUAAUAUAGAGUUCCCUUUGGGUGCCCUAGCAGUGGAAAUUAAAUGAGUAAGUGUCUUGUGAAUGUCCUUUGAGUAAAAUGUUGGUUAUAAAGUUAUUUUUAAAUGUCUUAGUUCAAGUUUGAUUAUAUGCCCUUUGGGUAAAUAAGCCUUAUAUCCAGCGCAUGUUUUUAAAUUAGUUAUGAAAAGUUGUAGAUUAAUCUUGUUCCCAGGAUAGAUUUCAGUUUCCAAAACUGUGCAAAAAAAGGUUCAAAAUAACUCAAAGAGUAGCGAACACUCAAAGUGUUAGUUUACUUAGAAUAUCAGCGUUUGAUCACUUCCAGAUUAAACUGGAUCCUCCAGGGUUUAGACCGAUGCAUAGCAUAAAAGACGAAUCUGAGCCAAAGACUUAAGAGUAAUCCUCGGUUAAACGCCUUGAGUUAUGACUUCACACUUCUGCACAGAUUUGUUUAAGCAGAGAGAUCAGUCACGGCAGUAUAGACAGAUUAAGACGGUACAUGCCCCAGGCAACAAGUUGACAGCCUGUCUUUGUAACAAGCCUGACUGUGACGAAAUGUGCUGACUGAUGAAUGUAAAGCGCGCUGACAGAAACACACACCACACUCAGCAUCGAUGCAAAGUGGUAAUGACUUAUUACUGAUGUAAGGAGCACAAGUAAAACAGGUGCGAUGAUUUUUUCCCCCUCCCCCGCUCUCUCUAACCAUGUAUGACCCAGUGGGGUUUCGCACUAAUUGAUGCACGUAGAAGAGCAUUUGUCAGCUUCCUGCAUCACUAAUUGGCACUAAUGUAAUUAGUCAGAGGAGUCUCACACACACACACGCUCAUCGUGCUAAUAAGCCUUGAACAUCCGUGCAAACAAGAUAGGUGACAUGAAUAGAUUCACACAGAUUCACACUCAAACAUGCGGUCCAAGAACCAGCCGGGUGACAUACCUGAGAGUAUUUUUCCUGGCUCAGACGUCGCCGAAGCGCUGAGUCACAGAUGUACCUGUCCUGGCCGCAGACAUCAACACACCAACGCUGUCUCUCUGCAUGUUUGCCAACACUCAAGGCGUCAGUUUCAGUCUCUCAGACGCGUUGACAGAUUUAGGUAAAACCUCGCGCUCCAACUUCAGGGUAAAAAGAGAGACAAACAUGUGAAGACUGUUAAAGUUUAUUAUGUUUAUGUAGUUUUUAAAGAGGAGAAAACAGGAAGGUAAAACUACACGUUUUAAUGAAUUUGAUUAAGUUUGAAAAAAUAAACUUUUAAUCAGUCCCUCUGGAAUCCCCCCAGCCAAUAAAGAAGUUAUAAAAAGGGCCCUCUGGAUGCUCAUUAACUAUUCAAGCUGAUAAAAAAGUUCCCUCUAGGAAGGUAAAAAUACACGUUUGAAUUAAUUUGAUUAAGUUUGGAAAAUAAACUUUUUAUUAAAGAGCUUUGAAAUACAAUCAGCCGAUCACCUUAUUUAAACAAAAAAACUUAAAUCUAAAAAAUAAAAAUAAAAACUUUGAAAUGAUCAUUCUAGCUUUUCUUCUAUUUAAUAUUAUUAAACAACUUUUAAUUUUUAAUCAAUUUUUUUCUCUCUUCCCUCCUGUCUUUCUUCCUUCCACCUCUCUCCUUCUUCCUUUCCUUGUCCUCCUUCCUUCCACUCCUCUCCUUCUUCCUUUCCUUUCCUCAUCCUUCCUUUCCUUAUUUAAUAUUCUUCUUUCUUUCUUUCUUACCUUCCUUCAACCUUCUCCUUUUCCUUCCUUCCUUUCCCCUUCUCCUUUUUCCUUCCUUUCACCCCUCUCCUUCUUUCUUUCUUCCCUCUUCCUACAUUCCUUUCCUUCACCCCCUCCUUCUUCCCUCCUUCCUUCUUUCUUUCCUUCCUUCCUUUCCCCUUCUCCUUUUUCCUUCCUUUCACCCCUCUCCUUCUUUCUUUCUUCCCUCUUCCUACAUUCCUUUCCUUCACCCCCUCCUUCUUCCCUCCUUACUUCUUUCUUUUCUUCCUUUCACCCUUCUCCUUUUUCAUUCUCUCUUCCUACCUUUCCUUUUCAACCUUCCUACCUUCUAUUUUCUCUCUUCCCUCUUCCUUCCCUCUACCCCGUCCUUCCUUCCUUCAUUCUUUCUUUCCUUCCUUUCACUCCUCUCCUUCUUCCUCUCCUAUUCCCCUUCCUUCUUUCCUUUUAUCUUUUUCCUUUCUUUCCUCUUUUCUUUCCUCUUUCUUUCCACCCUUCUCCUUUUCCUUUCCUUUUCCCCCUUCCUUCCUUUUAUUUUCUUUAUCUUUUCUUUCCUCUACCUUCCUUCCUUCCUUCUUUCCCUUCUUCCACCCCUCUCCUUCUUCCCUCCUUUCCUUUUCCCCCUUCCUUCCUUUCUUCCUAUUUUUCUUUUUCCUUUCUUUCCUCUUCCUUCUUUCCUUCCUUCUACUCCUCUCCUUCUUCCUUCCUUCCUUUUCUUUAUUUUUCCUAUCUUCCGGCUCUUUCUUUCUUAGAGAACAUCUCCUAAAUUCAAGAAUCAGAACCAGUUUGAUCGGGUUUUAAUGUAAACCCCAGAAACUUCUCUCCUCUCUCUCCAGCCGUUUUAUCACCCUUCCUCCCCCUCUCCCUCCUCCUCUUCCUCCUCCUCCUCAUCUAUAAUCCUCUGUAGAUGAGUGUGGUAAAUGGAGGAUAAAACAGGUUUCAAUUAAAGGCAUCAGAAUUCUAGUCACAUCGUCCCUGAGCGGCUACUGAGUUAGAUAGGGGAUCAAGGCAGGCACACACACACAUACACACACACACGCACACACACGUGAACACACACACUCACACACACACACACGCAAACGCACACACACACACACACGUGAACACACACACUCACACACACACACUCACACACCCACAGACCCAGAGGCUGUUCGCUGGAAGCAUUGCAUUGCACUCGUCCAGAUUUAAAUGUGUGUCAUUUCUCUGGAUGAUUGUAAUCAGUGUCAGUCUGAAAACUGACCGUUGUGUGGGUUGUGUGGGUUGUGUAGGUUGUGUGUGUAUGUUUUUGUGGAGUCUAUGUUUGGGAGAAAUCAGCACGUUAUGAAUGACUGGCGUAGACUCUUUGUGAAGGGACAGGAAGCAGCUCUUGGACGAUUUUGAUUGCUGUUGUCUGUUCGUCUCUCUGUAACCUCUAAGAAUGUGUGUAGGUGGGAACAGUGUGUAAUAAAUUUGUAUGCUUUAAUUCCGGGAGCGUUUUGCAUCACAAAUAUCCGCUUUUUAUAAAUCACUCGUUAUCCAGAUGUCAAAAAAUAGAGAAAUCCUCAUUUAUGAUUCCCCGAACACCCAAAAAUAAACCCUCUGUUUGUUAACUUUUGUCUGGCAAUCAAAAAUGUCACAGAGAAAACUACCAAAAAAUCCAAAACAAUUACCUUUGGAAGCUGAUGCCAAUGAGCGGUUAGAUUUGUCUGACAUAUAAAGCUCAAACAAAUUAAACUCACAGCUGCCGUCGAAUCAACAAACACUACACUCAUCUUCUAAUGAGAGACAGAAAUACAAUUUCUAUUUAAAGCUCCAGUGAGGAGUUUUUGGAUGUUUGUGAAAUUAACCAAAAUUCAAACUGAAGCCUUUUUAUGAUGAACUAAAGCAAACAAAACCAUCAGGGUCAAGACAAGUGAUUUUUAUAGAGCAGUUUUUAAUGCCUGACAAGGGUGCAAGGGGGUAUGUGUUGGCUGUUUUUACAUUUUCAACUUCAAAGAAUCACGAUAAAUUAUACAUUUAAGUUUCAAAAGUCAAAAGGGUUCGAUUUUGGGAGAACACGCUGUUAGGGCAUGUAGAUAAGCAAAGACUACUUUGUCCACAGGGGGUGCCAAACUGACACGAAACAAAAGUUGCUUUAAGCUGAUAAUUAUCACAAUUAAAUUUCAGGUAAAAUGAAGCAUCUAGAUUUUGACACACAUUCUUUCGGCUGCCGGCAAAACCACCUGAAAAUUAAAUUAUUACAAAAACAUCGGACGCUAGCCAUUCGUGCAAUAAUACAAUAGCUGUUGUUGCAUUUCCUGAUGGUGUAUUACUUAGCUUCCGGAUUUCAUAACAGUUUAGGCGCUAAUCUGGCUUGAACUGGCCUUUGUAUCCUGUUUCACAGCUUAAUGGGGUAAUUUUUAACACAGCUUUGUAUUAACAAAACCACCUGAAAGUUAAAUUAUUACGAAAACAUUGGAGGCUAGCCAUUUGCGCUAUUACACAUUAGCCGUUGUUACAUUCCCUGAUGGUGCAGUACUGGGCUUCUAGGUAUAGUAACGGUUAAGGCGCAAAUCUGUCUUUGUAUCUUGUUUUACAGCUUAAUAGGGUUACAUUUUACACAGGUUUGUGUUAACAAAACCACCUAAAAGUUAAAUUAUUACGAAAACAUUGGAGGCUAGCCAUUCGUCUUGUUAUAUAUUGGCCGUUGUUUAACCCCCUGAUGGUGUGUAACUUAACUUGAGGGUUUAGUAACAGUUCAGACACGAGUCCGGCUAGGGUUAGGGUUAGUUUACUUACUUUUUACACGGUUCUGUAGUCAGUAAAAUUACUCAAAGGUUAUGUCAUUAAAAGAUAUGUCUGAGGCAUUCCCAAACCAAACCAAAAGAACAGCUUUGAGUAACUUUCUCAGAGUCAACAACCUGCAUUUUUACAUGUUUCCAAUAGUCCCAACACUCUCAUGGUCUUUUCUAAUUUGCUUAUAAAUCUCCUGAACUCCCAGCAAAAACAACAACAUGGCAUUUUAAAAAGGACAUCGUUGUUCAGUUUCAAAUGACAGAUGAAAAUGUGAAGAAUCUCCUCGUGGAGGAGUGUUUGCAUGACAAUGUGUAACCUUUUGUGAAGACAAACUGUGUUUGAAAGUCUCACCAUCUAUUUUGUUUUAUGAGGACAUUCGCAUAAUUCCGGCUUUAAAAAGCAGAGUAAAAGAGCCGGACUGGCGGCCGUAAUAGCGUCCCAAAGUGUGCUUCACUUUCAUAACAGCAGUCCCUGAAGUGUAGGCUAGAUGUCACCAAUUUCAAAUAGUAAACCCCUCAUUUUGGAGUGAAACUCUGUACGCGGGUCAUGUGGCUAAAAAUAAAACUAUCUCCUGGGCAAUCUUGAGAGAAAAGUGCAUAGAGGGAGGAGGGAAAACUGAGACAUCGGGGAGCAAUUGAGACAUAAGAGGAGUGAGGGGAGAGAGAGAGAGCGAGGCUAUUUAUGUUGCUUCUCUGAAAGGUGAGUCAUCCCGCGGCUCUUAUUCCCCAAAAGAAAAUGGACGAGGCAAAAAAGGCAGGGGCUAAAAAGGGAGGCUAUCAAGAGUUUAAAAAGCUCCGGGGAAAGAACAUUCAGGUAUUUUUACGAGCUGAUGUGUCAAGAAUUUCGUCACAGGCCGCUCUGCACGAGCAGGUGUAAUCGUAGUAAAAAGUAUUAUAAUAAAACUAGGAGCCUCUAAACGUUGAAUAUAUAUGAGCUUUCAUUAUUCUUAAAGCAGUCUUUCACCCAAACGCCUGAGUUCAUCUCCCAAAAUUACAUUUGCGACAAGAUGUUUAUCUUGGACACGCUGACUGAUGAAAAUUGAUUUUAUCCCCCUGUCAGAUUUUGGCUGAUGACAGGGCUCAUACAGUUCAAAUUAAAAGUCAAACGCCAUAAUUCUGAGUGUUUUCUUUGAGACGUAUAGUGUAGCUUGUCUUUAUGAUCAUGUUACAUACAGAAACAGGGUCAGGCAAAUAGCUGGAGAUGACUUACCGGUUUAAACUCUUAUACAAAGCACGUUAUUGUUGUUUCAUAGUUAUCGCCUGAUCUACAGAAGUCUGAUGAAAUCGCAAAGUAAUCUGGUCACACCCUUUCUGAACACAAUCCUCAAUAAUCUGCAGGAUUUACUUUGUACCAAAGACAUAACUCUUAGGAAAACAAGAGAAAUUUUAGUCCUUUUUCAGAUGAAAUAAGAUCAAAACGGAGUCUCUCUCUUCUCCUCUGUCUUGCUCCUGCGCUCUUGUCCCUGGACUGGACUUUUGUCUUCUUGACUAAUGCAGUAUUGUCAGGUCAGCAUGGCUCUGUGACCGGGUCAUUUCUUAUCAGGGGAGCGGUGGAGGUGUAACAUUAAAUUCUGCUGGUAUCAAGUUGUUGCAAACGUGUUUCUAUUACAAAGAGGAUCAGACAAGUUUCUGGUCUUUAUUGAAAAAAUGUGAGGACUUCUGAUCUCAUAAGUUUGAUGAAUUAUGUUUUAAUAAUAUCACAUGAACAAUCAGCUGGUUGGCCAUGUUGGAUAUACCGGUGAAUCUGACAUCGCAACAACACGAAAUCUGAUUGGUCAGAAGUGGACACACAGUAUGUGAAACUUUAGAAAAUUUGAAUGUGAUACGAAAAAAUAAAUGCCGCAAUAUCGCAGGACAGGAAAACGUCACUGAUGUGAACGCUUGUAUUGACAGGAUACAGGUUCGAAAAAAAUAUUGAUGCCCGAAACAAUCGCACGAAAAAAAAAGCUCCCGAUAUGUAAGGACCUUAAGUC